UACGUAGGGCGCAAGCGUUAUCCGGAAUUAUUGGGCGUAAAGAGCUCGUAGGCGGCCUGUUGCGUCCGCUGUGAAAGCCCGGGGCUUAACCCCGGGUCGCAGUGGAUACGGGCAGGCUAGAGGUAGGUAGGGGAGAAUGGAAUUCCCGGUGUAGCGGUGAAAUGCGCAGAUAUCGGGAGGAACACCGGUGGCGAAGGCGGUUCUCUGGGCCUUACCUGACGCUGAGGAGCGAAAGCGUGGGGGAGCGAAACAGG
rnacentral:rRNA from 1 species